UACGGGGGGGGCAAGCGUUGUUCGGAAUUACUGGGCGUAAAGGGCUCGUAGGCGGCCAACUAAGUCAGACGUGAAAUCCCUCGGCUUAACCGGGGAACUGCGUCUGAUACUGGAUGGCUUGGAUUUGGGAGAGGGAUGCGGAAUUCCAGGUGUAGCGGUGAAAUGCGUAGAUAUCAGGAGGAACACCUGCGGUGUAGACGGCUUACUGGACCAUAACUGACGCUGAGGCACGAAAGCGUGGGUAGCAAACAGG
rnacentral:rRNA from 1 species